AGUGAACGCUGGCGGUAGGCCUAACACAUGCAAGUCGAACGGCAGCACAGUAAGAGCUUGCUCUUACGGGUGGCGAGUGGCGGACGGGUGAGGAAUACAUCGGAAUCUACUUUUUCGUGGGGGAUGACGUAGGGAAACUUACGCUAAUACCGCAUACGACCUACGGGUGAAAGCAGGGGAUCUUCGGACCUUGCGCGAUUGAAUGAGCCGAUGUCGGAUUAGCUAGUUGGCGGGGUAAAGGCCCACCAAGGCGACGAUCCGUAGCUGGUCUGAGAGGAUGAUCAGCCACACUGGAACUGAGACACGGUCCAGACUCCUACGGGAGGCAGCAGUGGGGAAUAUUGGACAAUGGGCGCAAGCCUGAUCCAGCCAUACCGCGUGGGUGAAGAAGGCCUUCGGGUUGUAAAGCCCUUUUGUUGGGAAAGAAAAGCGGCAGGUUAAUACCCCGCUGUUCUGACGGUACCCAAAGAAUAAGCACCGGCUAACUUCGUG
rnacentral:rRNA from 1 species